UCAAAGCUAAAAUAGACAUUGGCAUGUGUUAAAUUUAUUGAAACUACUGUGUUACUCACCCUGUUUUUUCAUUUUGUAUGUCUAUAUUACUGUAUAAUGCUCUUGAUCCCUUCUGAAGCACAUGCUGGCUCUCCGAGGCAGUGAUUGCAAAAGGCGCUCGGGCGCUCGCCUAGGCGCUCGGGCGAGGCGAGGCGAGGCCCGAGCGCCUCGCUAAUGUCCCAGGUGGCGCGCUUCAAUCAGGCGCCGCCUGGGCGCUCGCCCGAGCCCAGGCGCUGGGCGCUUCAGGCGAGCGCCUGGGUAAACCGAACCAGAAUUUUAGGUCUGGUUCGGUCCUGGUUCGGUUGUUAGUUGGUUCAAUCGAACCAACUAAACCGAUAUAACCCCAACCCUAACCCUAACCCUAACCCAACACUAACCUGUUGCCGAUCCCGAUCCCGAUCGCGAUUUCGUCGCUCGCUGCCGCUGCCGCUGUCGCUGCUCGCGCCUCCCGCGAGCCUUCCCGCUGCUCGCGCCUCCCGCAAGCCCUCUCGUUGCUCGCGCCUCCUGCGAGCCCUCCUACUGCUCGCGCCUCCCGCGAGCCCUCUCGCUGCUCGCGUCUCCUGCGAGCCCUCCCGCGAGCCUUNNNNNNNNNNNNNNNNNNNNCCGCUGCUCGCGCCUCCCGCGAGCCCUCUCGCCUCCUGCGAGCCCUCCCGCGAAGCCUUCCCGCUGCUCGCGCCUUCCUCUCCCUUUCCCUUUCCCGCUGUCGCUGCCGCCGCUCGCCGCCACUGCUGCCGUCGCUGCUGCUGCCGCCGCUCGCCGCUGCUUCCUCGUUUCUCCGUCAGCAGGUUUAUAUUGUUAAUGUGAUUAUAUUUAUUAAUUAUAUUAUAUAUUUUUUAUAUUUUUAUUUAAAAUUUUAAAUAAUUAUAUUUAUUAAUUAUAUUUUAUAUUUUUAUAUUUUAGCGCCUCGCUUCGCUCGGGCGAGCGCCUCGGGCGUUUUUGGACCUUGGCGCCUUUUGGCGCCUAGCGCUUUUUAAAUCACUGCUCCGAGGAAUAUAUGGAUUUCUCUCUUUCCAAUCAAAUAGUGUGAAGGAGCUCUUGGGAUUUAUUUUCUUCCAUUUGCAUGGCACACUUGAUUUAGAAGCUCAGAAAUUAAAAUUUAUUAUAACUUGAAACAUGUCUGUUCUAAUUCAAUAUUUGUGGUAUUUUUUAGGUUAGGAUGCAUGUUUCUUUUGAAUAUAUAUAAAAUCAAAUUCAAUUAGAAAAUAGGUUAGCUGCAUAGCACAUUCCAAACUUGUACAGCAUAGUCUCUUUAUGAUGGACCUGACAUCACACACGAGUUGUAUCUGCUGCUAGUUGGUAAAAGCAGCAAUUCAUAUGUUCGUAAAAAAGC
rnacentral:lncRNA from 1 species